UUGAUACUAUUAGGCUUGAGUUAAGAAGAGGUAAGCAGAAUUUAUGGUGUAGUAGUGAAAUACUUAGAUAUCAUGAGGAAUACCAAUAGCGUAGGCAGCUUACUGGUCUUUAACUGACGCUGAGGCACGAAAGCGUGGGGAGCAAACAGGAUUAGAUACCCUGGUAGUCCACGCCGUAAACGAUGAUCACUCGAUAUACAUGAUACAUCAUGUGUGUCUAAGCGAAAGCGUUAAGUGAUCCACCUGGGGAGUAUACUCGCAAGGGUGAAACUCAAAGGAAUUGACGGGGGUCCGCACAAGCGGUGGAGUGUGUGGUUUAAUUCGAUAAUACGCGAGGAACCUUACCUGGGCUAGAAUGUGUUUUGCUACCUUGAGAAAUUGAGGGUUCCUUCGGGACGGAAUACAAGGUGCUGCAUGGCUGUCGUCAGCUCGUGCCGUGAUGUGUUGGGUUAAGUCCUAUAACGAGCGAAACCCUUUUACUUAAUUGCCAGCACGUAAUGGUGGGGACUUUAAGUAGGCUGCCCGUGUAAGCGGGAGGAAGGAGAGGACGAGGUCAAGUCAUCAUGCCUUUAUGCCCAGGGCUACACACGUACUACAAUGGCAUGUACAAAGGGAAGCUACUUGGCAACAAGAUGCAAAUCUCAAAAGCAUGUCUCAGUUCGGAUUGAGGUCUGCAAUUCGACCUCAUGAAGUUGGAAUCGCUAGUAAUCGCGUAUCAGCAAUGACGCGGUGAAUACGUUCUCGGACCUUGUACACACCGCCCAUCAAGCCAUG
rnacentral:rRNA from 1 species